rnacentral:lncRNA from 1 species
UGGAAUCUUUUCCUGAAGGGAGGGCUAGAUGACUCCCUGAAGAGCCUUCCCUAUCCCAGGUUUUCACAACAUUGACCUGGAUAUCCUGGAGCUUGCUGUGUAGAUCAGGCUGGCUUUGAACUCCCAGAGUGCCACCACUCUCAGCUUUGUAGAAAGAAUAUCUUACAAGCAUCACCUAGAGACACUGAGGGAGACUCGAAGGAAGAAGCGGACCAGGACUGAAGGAGAGGUUGGAGCCACAGAGGGAAAGAAAAGCCAACAUGUUAUACUUGUCCCAGAGCCACAGAAAGAACCUCAGAGAUGGCUUAGUGGCUAAGAGCGCUGGCUGUCUGCUCUCCUGGAGGAUCCAGGUUCUGUUCCUAGCACCCACACAGUGUCUCACAACUGUCUGCAAGUCCAGUUCCAGGGGCUCUAACGCCAUCUUCUGAUCACCUCAGGCACCAGGCUUGUAAAUGCUACACAGGCAUAUAUUCAAGCAAAAGCACUCAUACACCUAAAUUAAAUCACAAACAAAACAAGAACACUUCCAAUACUUGUGGAACUUUCCCAAGACCUGAGACCUCAUGUGCCCUCAGAUGGGGAAACCAGGGUGCACUCCAAGAAUGGGGAAGGCCCAAGUGCUCUCAUCCUCAGUGGUCAGGAGACAGGGUUGGGGAAUGUGGGCUCCUGUCAGGGAACCUGUGGAGGAGGGUUUAUACAGGUCUCAGCACCAGAUUUCAGUGUCUAUGGCUCUGGGUCACCCAGGAAGCCUCUGCAGGCCCCUCUGUCCUCCCUGCAACAAGUCCAAGUCAUUUCAAAGAGAGUGGGGAACUUGGGGGGUCCUGUGGCUCUUUUGGGUUUCUGCAACUUUGUCUCCUUUAUGAGGAGGAAUGGUUUGUUUAGAAUGUAAGUAGGAGCUCUUUGAGUGAGAAGUGAGUGGUGUGUGCGUGUGUGUGUGUGUGUGCGUGUGCGUGUGUGUGCGUGUGCGUGUGCAUGUGUGUGUUUCCUUCUGUCUCUCUGUCUGCUUGACUCUCAGCCUAUUAAUACAAGCCCUGUGAUUAAUACAAGCCCCGUGUCUGGCUGUACUCCAAGCACACGUGCUCCCUGCCAUAGAGUACCACCCCUCCCAGAUCAGCCUGUUGUUUGUUCUUUCUGAUGGGUGCCAGCCUUGUAGACCCCAUGGAGGUAGAAUAUAACUUUCCAUAAAUAAACUCUAACCUGACCUAC